rnacentral:rRNA from 1 species
UACGGAGGGGGCAAGCGUUGUUCGGAAUUACUGGGCGUAAAGGGCGCGCAGGCGGCUGCUCAAGUCAGGCGUGAAAGGCCUGGGCUCAACCCGGGAAUUGCGCUUGAGACUGGGCUGGCUUGAGUGCGGGAGAGGAUGGUGGAAUUCCCAGUGUAGAGGUGAAAUUCGUAGAUAUUCGGAAGAACACCAGUGGCGAAGGCGACAUACUGGUCCGUUACUGACGCUGAGGCUCGAAAGCGUGGGGAGCAAACAGG